ACGGGGGCAACUCCGUAGCGAGUGGCGAACGGGUGAGUAAUGCAUCGGAACGUGCCCUCUUGUGGGGGAUAACCAGUCGAAAGAUUGGCUAAUACCGCAUGAGCUCGAGAGAGGAAAGCGGGGGAUCCGCAAGGACCUCGCGCGAGAGGAGCGGCCGAUGCCCGAUUAGCUAGUUGGUGGGGUAAUAGCCCACCAAGGCGACGAUCGGUAGCUGGUCUGAGAGGACGACCAGCCACACUGGGACUGAGACACGGCCCAGACUCCUACGGGAGGCAGCAGUGGGGAAUUUUGGACAAUGGGGGCAACCCCGAUCCAGCCAUGCCGCGUGUGUGAAGAAGGCCUUCGGGUUGUAAAGCACUUUCGGACGGAACGAAAUCGCGCGGGUGAAUAAUCCGCGUGGAUGACGGUACCGUAGGAAGAAGCACCGGCUAACUACGUGCCAGCAGCCGCGGUAAUACGUAGGGUGCGAGCGUUA
rnacentral:rRNA from 1 species